rnacentral:lncRNA from 1 species
CUGGCCUGGAACUCUCAGCAGUCUUCUUGCCUCAGUCUCCUGAGUGCUGAGAUCACAGGCAUGCAUCGUCAUGCCCAGCCACACUUACUAUGUUUUAAGACCAAUCCAUGCUAUGUUGCCCAGGCUGACCCUGAACACCUGCGCUCUGGGUUCAAGAGAUCCUCCUGCCUCAGCCUCACCUGCCUUUCUCUACCUGUUAUCUGUGUCAGGGUCCAUGUGGUACCUGUCAAUGUCAGCCUUUCAUCCUCGGAACACUUGCCCAAGACCAGCACUAGUAUUUCCCCAUUUUACAAAAUGGAAAAUUCAACUGCAGAUAAUCAGCCCACCCAGGAACCCAUGUCUGAGGACCACGGGGCUGGGAACCACAAAUCUCAUGGGUGAGCAUACAAGACAGCCCCAGAGCCAGACCUGCCAGGGACAAGGAUAGAGCAUGGUCCAUCGGCAAGUGCUGCAGAUGCUCUCCAGGGCCACCCCAGGCCACCUCGGCCCCUUCCUCUGGAGCAGGACGGCCAGAGAACAGCACACAUCUGUCACCAGCGCCUGAUAGGAACAGAGGCACCAAUGGACCCGGGCUGCUGAGAGGAGAAGGGUGACUCACAGUGGGCCAGAAGAAGAUAAAGGGGUGUUGUGUUUUGAGACGGUCUUGCUAUGUAGCUCAGGCUAGCCUCAAAUUUGUAGCAGUCCUUCUGCUUCAGCCUCUUGAGGGCUGGGAUUACCGAUGUGUGCCACCAUGCCCAGCAAGGCUCUAUCCUGGGCCUGCAGGGCUGUAUGGGGAGGGACCUGUGCUGCCUGAACAUUGCCAUGCACCUGGACAUCAGGAUGUCCAGUCCAACAAGACUUCCGGGAUGACCCAAGGACCGUCUGCCAGGACUAAAGGCAGAAGAGGGCGUGGCGGAAAUUGCCAGGUCUCUGGGAUCCAAAGAUUCUUUAGCCAGGUGUGGCCACACCUGCAAUCCCUGUACUCUGGGAGACUGAGGCAGGGAGAUCACAAAUUGAAGGGGCCGGGGAUUUAGCUCAGUGGUUUCGCUGCUUGCUGCGAAAACGCAAGGACCCAAGUUCAAUCCCCAGUACCAAAAAAACCCCAAAACCAAAUUGGAGUCCAGCUGGACAAUUUAGUGAUUUAGUGAGACCCAACCCCAAAAUAAGGAAAAAAGGGCAAGGGAUGUAGCUCAGGGCAAAGAGGCCUUGAGUUCAACCUGCAGUACUACAGAGAAAAGAAAAUGUUAGGUGAAGAAAAAGAAUUGUGUACUGAAUUCACAUGGACU